CGCGAGCUGGGGGCCCUUCCUGGGGGUGGGCGGAGCCCGGCCCGAGGCUCGUGCCUUCCCGCAGCUCCGGGGAGCUUCGCCGUGUCCCAGCCCCAGCCCAGACCCCGGCUGCAGCGAACACCGGUGGGCCGUGCUGCCCCCAGCCCGGAGGAUGCGGUUCUCCUGGGGCAGAGAUGGGGCCGGGCCCGUGAAGCCGGGUCCCCAGCAGGCCUGGCCUCCGGCAGCUUCCUGCCCCAGUGUGGCCCCCGCUCGCCUCGACUGGGAGACGACCACAGCGUGGGGUCCCCGGCCGCCCCUCGCAUCCGCCAGGGCCUCCCAGAGCGACACCCGCUCUGGCUACCGGGAAUGCAGGGGAAACGCACACUCAGGACUAAGGAGUGUGGCCCCCACUUUAGAGGAGGAACUGCCCAUACCACUUUCCCCAGAGUCCACGAGACGGUUGCCCAGCUGUGCCGGCCUGCUGCCCAGGCCCCUGCCACCCCCAAGCCCACCCACAGCCCCCUGGGCCUGGAGGGGACCUCAGUUCAGGCCCUGCUGGGUUGGCCAAGCUCAGGCCCCACGCCAGACCCCACCCCCACCCUCGAGGCCCGACUGCAUGGAGGCUGCAGGAAUGGAACAACCUGCGGGGUAAGAUGUGGUCACAUGUUUCCCGGGCUGCAGGUGUCCUCAUGUGACACAUGGGGUGAGUCGCACCUGACUCCACGUCCAGGGCAGGGUGAGGGCCCCACGUGGGCUGAGAGGGAAGGUCACACCUGACCCGCAUCCAGGGCGGGGUGAGGGCCCCACCUGGGCUGAGUGUGGCUGCCACACCAGGCGGGCCCAGCUCUCCCUGGACAUGGCCACCUCUAGGCCACUGGCCACCAGGCAGGACGGCGCAGGCCUGAGCUGCCAGGACACGUGGGGCCCAAAGCAGGCCGAGGCCGUCGGCGCUGUGGCCUGCCCCCUCACGCGGCCCCCCGCCUGCCGGGCGUGGGCUGACGCUGGUGCUGGCGCACCCCUGGACGGGAGGUCUGAACGGGAGCCUCGGG
rnacentral:lncRNA from 1 species